GUUUUAUUUUCGGAAUUACCCCUGUGCUGUCUAACCCUAGCUAGGUCCAGGCGGGGUCUCCAUUCCAGUUCCACGGCGCGGAGAUGACCCGCCGCCGCAGCCCACGUCUCCAUCCCCAGAUCCCGGCCAAUGAGCAGCCCGCCGGAAUGGCUGUCCGCCGCAGCCCGCGGCUCCUCUCCCAAAAUCACACCACCGAGGAUGGCUCCAGCAUAGCCCUCCGCCGCAGCCCGCGGCUCAACCCUCAGAUCCCCGUGAGUGGCAAGGGCGCCGGAGCGACCCGCCGGCGCAGCUCGCGUCUCAACCCCCAAAUCCGCGUGGGUGAGGAGGGCUCCGGGGUGACCCACCGCCGCAGCCCGCGGCUCAACCCCCAACUCCACGCGAGCGACGAGGGCGCCGGCCGCCGCACCACGCGGCUCCACCACUCGAGCGAGGAGGGCUCCGGAGUUACACGCCGCCGCCGCCGCCGCGGCACCUCGGCGGCUGCGCCUGCCGCCCUGCCGGACGACGACGAUAUGCUCCGGGAGAUCCUCCUGCGCCUCCCGCCUCAGCCGUCCUCCCUCCCGCGCGCUUCCGCCGUCUGCAAACGCUGGCAACGCGUCGCCACCGACCCCCGGUUCCUCAGCAGCUUCUCUGCCCACCACCGCAAGCCGCCCCUCCUCGGCUUCUUUGAGCCCGACUUCUACGACAUCGUGUUCACCUCCAUCCUGGACCCUCCCGACCGCGUCCCUCCCGAGAGGUUCGACGCACGCCGUCAGAUCCGCAGCUUCCGGAAGGCCGAAGUGCUCGGUUGCCGCCACGGCCUCGUCCUCCUCCUGGAGUCAGACGGGUUCAUUGUAUGGGACCCAAUCACCAGCGAGCAUCGCCGCAUCGACGUUCCAGAAGCGUUUGAAAUGUCAUGGUACUUCUAUGGGGCUGUGCUCUGCGCUGCCGCCGACCAGGGCCAUAUGCACGGCAGCUGCCACUCGAGGCCCUUUAAUUUGGUCUUGAUGGCCCCGUGCCAAGGCUCACAAAGCGAUGGUCCACCCAUCGCUUGCGUAUACUCCUCGGAGACUGGACUAUGGGGCGAUCUGAUCUCAACAACGGAUCGAUGUGAGUUUGUUCAUUGUAAUCGUGGGAUCCUUGUUGGUAAUGUCCUUUACUGGUCAUCUAAGAGUGUGAGUGCCGAAUCAAAUUAUUUGGAUUUGGAUGAGCUCGCAGACGACAUAAUUGAGUUUGAUUUGGAUAGCCAGAGUCUUGCUUUGAUCAAGGGGCCUCGAGGACUGAAUUAUUCCACCACGCAUCAGAUAAUCCAGUUAGAGGAUGGUGAUCUUGGUCUUGCCAUAUUGUCUCAUGGUAGAUUCGAAAUGUGGCAGAGGAAGGUCAGUUGUCAAGGUGGUGCCACAUGGUUCCUGCAGAAGACCCUUGACAUUGAUAGUAUUCUUGGGCUCCCUUCUCAGGUUGAGGAAUCAUCGAUGAGAAAGGUGGAAAUACUGGGGUAUGAUGAGGAUAAUGGUGUAAUGUUUUUAUUUCUGGACACCAAUGUCUACAUGCUUCAAGUGAUGUCAAUGCAAUCCAGGAAGCUUCAUCAAAGCCGUUAUGCCAAUAACUGUCAUCCUUUCACAAGUUUCUAUGGACCAGGUAGCUAAACAUUAGUGUUUUCCGGAACGAUCUUAGCCAUUCCCGAUGGAUACGGUGGAGCUGAAAUGCUGCAAGAUAUGUAGGAUGGCUGUCUGGUCUCAUGUGGUAAUAUGCUGGAAUGGUCCUAAAGGUGAAGUAGUCAAGGGCUGCUGUUGUCCCUAGUCCCUACUGAGUUUGUCGCGUUCCAUCAAUGUGGUCGGCAGUGUACACACAUCAUGUGGAAGAAAUUGCUGAACAUGUGCCUUCGUUGAGUAAGUUUGUAAUGUGACAAGAUGAAUUCUAAUACCGAAGCGAGGGAAGUAGACCUAUCUUAUUUUACAUGGCUGUGCUAGGCAGUUAUUUAUUUGGAAGCACACUCCUACAGGGGUGUUUGCACUACUAAGAUUGUCUAUCGCAGUUUUAAACUGGUCAACAGUCGACAUUAUGGCCUACCGUCUGCAGUUAGAGCUGCCUGUAACCUGAAACCAUACUGAGUCUGUAGAAGAUGCGGCCAUUUUGAAGAUGAUGUUCACUCUUUUCUUUUUUUU